CCUCAAAGCGAUUUACUAAUAACUCCACGGCUUUGUGAUAGUUUGCGCUGGACAAGUUUAAACCAUUUAUGACAUUCAUAGCGUCUGCAUCAAGAAGUGACUGAAGGUACGUGAAUUUCUGGACAUCAAUAAGUGUAUGAUUGCUGUGAAUUGUGUUUUCAAACGACUCCCAAAAGUAUUGCCACUCAAGAAUAUCUCCAGAAAAAGUAGGUAGGGUUAGCUUCGGCAAGCGGUGAUUUUGACUAGACAGGGAACUAGUUUGUGAAGAAAAUCUUGGGAUGAAUUCUGUGUUCAUUACAGGACGGGUUUCGGAAUUGACUUCAUGCAUGUUCAUGA
rnacentral:lncRNA from 1 species